rnacentral:rRNA from 1 species
UAUCGGAUUGAUACUAAGCCAUGCGAGUCAUUGUAGCAAUACAAGGCAUACGGCUCAGUAGCGCGUAGUCAACCUAACCUAUGGACGGGAAUAACCUCGGGAAACUGAGAAUAAUGCCCGAUAGAACAUUAUGCCUGGAAUGGUUUAUGUUCCAAAUGACUUAUCGCCGUAGGAUGGGACUGCGGCCUAUCAGUUUGUUGGUGAGGUAAUGGCCCACCAAGACUAUUACAGGUACGGGCUCUGAGAGGAGUAGCCCGGAGAUGGGUACUGAGACACGGACCCAGGCCCUAUGGGGCGCAGCAGGCGAGAAAACUUUGCAAUGUGCGAAAGCACGACAAGGUUAAUCCGAGUGGUUUCUGCUAAAGGAACCUUUUGUCAGUCCUAGAAACACUGAUGAAUAAGGGGUGGGCAAGUUCUGGUGUCAGCCGCCGCGGUAAAACCAGCACCUCAAGUGGUCAGGAUGAUUAUUGGGCCUAAAGCAUCCGUAGCCGGCUCUGUAAGUUUUCGGUUAAAUCUGUACGCUCAACGUACAGGCUGCCGGGAAUACUGCAAAGCUAGGGAGUGGGAGAGGUAGACGGUACUCGGUAGGAAGGGGUAAAAUCCUUUGAUCUAUUGAUGACCACCUGUGGCGAAGGCGGUCUACCAGAACACGUCCGACGGUGAGGGAUGAAAGCUGGGGGAGCAAACCGGAUUAGAUACCCGGGUAGUCCCAGCUGUAAACCAUGCAAACUCAGUGAUGCAUUGGCUUGUGGCCAAUGCAGUGCUGCAGGGAAGCCGUUAAGUUUGCCGCCUGGGAAGUACGUACGCAAGUAUGAAACUUAAAGGAAUUGGCGGGGGAGCACCACAAGGGGUGAAGCCUGCGGUUCAAUUGGAGUC